AGCUCCAAUAGCGUAUAUUAAAGUUGCUGCAGUUAAAAAGCUCGUAGUUGCAUUUCCGAGGCAAGGGAUUAGUCCGACCUUUGGUGGGUAUUUAAUCCUCUUGCCUCGUCCUUGAGUGGUGCUUCUUGGUAUUAAGUUAUCGAGGAGAUAGCCGCUCAUCGUUUACUGUGAGAAAAUUAGAGUGUUCAAAGCAGGCUUAUGCCGUUGAAUAUAUUAGCAUGGAAUAAUAAGAUAGGACCUCGGUACUAUUUUGUUGGUUUGAGAACCAAGGUAAUGAGGAAUAGGGACAGUUGGGAGUAUUCGUAUUCAGUUGUCAGAGGUGAAAUUCUUAGAUUUACGGAAGACGAACUACUGCGAAAGCAUUUACCAAGGAUGUUUUCA
rnacentral:rRNA from 1 species